ACAUUGUAUUUGAUCAAUAUAAUACCAUCAUUUCUGUGGUCGUCCGUCAUUGAUUCAAUUGUAGGAAAUCUCAAGGUAACACACAGCACAGUACUGUAUAUUAUAGAUUUAUCACUAAACGUCUUUACAUUUUCAGUCACAGACACAGAUUUAUCACUAAACGUAUUUACAUUGUCAGUCACAGACACAGAUUUAUCACUAAACGUCUUUACAUUGUCAGUCACAGAAACAGAUUUAUCUCUAAACGUAUUUACAUUGUCAGUCACAGACACAGAUUUAUCACUAAACGUAUUUACAUUGUCAGUCACAGACACAGAUUUAUCACUAAACGUAUUUACAUUGUCAGUCACAGACACAGAUUUAUCUCUAAACGUCUUUACAUUGUCAGUCACAGACACAGAUUUAUCACUAAACGUAUUUACAUUGUCAGUCACAGACACAGAUUUAUCACUAAACGUCUUUACAUUGUCAGUCACAGAAACAGAUUUAUCACUAAACGUAUUUACAUUGUCAGUCACAGACACAGAUUUAUCACUAAACGUAUUUACAUUGUCAGUCACAGACACAGAUUUAUCACUAAACGUCUUUACAUUGUCAGUCACAGACACAGAUUUAUCACUAAACGUAUUUACAUUGUCAGUCACAGAAACAGAUUUAUCACUAAACGUCUUUACAUUGUCAGUCACAGAAACAGAUUUAUCACUAAACGUAUUUACAUUGUCAGUCACAGAAACAGAUUUAUCACUAAACGUAUUUACAUUGUCAGUCACAGAAACAGAUUUAUCACUAAACGUCUUUACAUUGUUAGUCACAGAAACAGAUUUAUCACUAAACGUAUUUACAUUGUCAGUCACAGACACAGAUUUAUCACUAAACGUCUUUACAUUGUCAGUCACAGACACAGAUUUAUCACUAAACGUAUUUACAUUGUCAGUCACAGAAACAGAUUUAUCACUAAAUGUCUUUACAUUGUCAGUCACAGAAACAGAUUUAUCACUAAACGUAUUUACAUUGUCAGUCACAGACACAGAUUUAUCACUAAACGUCUUUACAUUGUCAGUCACAGACACAGAUUUAUCACUAAACGUAUUUACAUUGUCAGUCACAGAAACAGAUUUAUCACUAAAUGUAUUUUCAUUGUCAGUCACAGACACAGAUUUAUCACUAAACGUAUUUACAUUGUCAGUCACAGACACAGAUUUAUCACUAAACGUAUUUACAUUGUCAGUCACAGACACAGAUUUAUCACUAAACGUCUUUACAUUGUCAGUCACAGACACAGAUUUAUCACUAAACGUAUUUACAUUGUCAGUCACAGAAACAGAUUUAUCACUAAAUGUAUUUACAUUGUCAGUCACAGAAACAGAUUUAUCACUAAAUGUAUUUACAUUGUCAGUCACAGAAACAGAUUUAUCACUAAACGUAUUUACAUUGUCAGUCACAGAAACAGACUAUAGUAGACUAAUAGCUUAUUAG
rnacentral:lncRNA from 8 species